rnacentral:lncRNA from 1 species
GUAUCUAAGACUCUUUCUCGUGUCUGUUUACUUUUCUCCUCCCGUAUCUGUUGUCUUCCGUACCUCUUAAUCAUUUAUUACUAUUUGACCAGCCACGUUUUAUGCCACAUCAUCUUUAAUUCAAAUUCAGUUUUUUCCCAAUACAGAUAGUCUCCCAACUUCCCAUUUAUUUAUCAAUUAAAUAAUUGGGAAGUGGAUUUUCAUAAAAGAUAAUUUUUAUCACAAUUAAUGUAUGUGACAGUGUUGACGUCUCAUCUGUCUUUCUCAUUUAAUAUUCCAUACACGUGUCAUCUUCUGAUUGGAUCUGCAGUUUUUUUACCCACUUUUCUAGGCUUAUUCAUCUUCUUCUUUUCACGAAGUGAUAGUUAUCUUUAAUAUAUGCUUUCCAUCAUUACACCCCUUAAUUUGACGGUUGCUUCCAUAUUCACACUUUCUUUGUCAUCUUCUUCAUCAAGCACCAUUCACUUUCUUUUACUUCUCUUUACUUUAAACUCGUCCAACAAUGGCAUCUCCAAACCCUAACCGCAGAAAGGGUCUAGUUCUUCAUCAAUUUCCUAAUGACCCUGCUCCGAUUAGACAUACAAGAGGCAGAGGAGGAAGACUUAGAAGUUCAGGAUCUACACGUGGGGGUUUGACUGGUUCAACUCCUCC